GUGAUUAUAGUUCAAUCUGGUAGAGCAACUAAUUGUGGUUUAGUAAGUUCCCUGUUCGAGCCAGGGUAUUCACCC
rnacentral:tRNA from 1 species